UAAUACCCUAUAGGUUACAGAUGCUGGAAUGCUCUGUAACUCAAAGUUCCGGCGCCUUAGGAUGGAUCUGCGGCCGAUUAGGUUGUUGUUGGGGUAAUGGCCCAACAAGCCAGUAAUCGGUACGGGUUGUGGGAGCAAGAGCCCGGAGUUGGAUUCUGAGACACGAAUCCAGGCCCUACGGGGCGCAGCAGGCGCGAAAACUUUACAAUGCGGGCAACCGUGAUAAGGGAACCUCGAGUGCCUGUAUAUGCAGGCUGCCCAGGUGUCUAAAGCACACCUGAAGAAAGGGCCGGGCAAGACCGGUGCCAGCCGCCGCGGUAAUACCGGCGGCUCGAGUGGUGGCCACUUUUAUUGGGCUUAAAGCGUUCGUAGCUGGGUUAUUAAGUCCCUUGGGAAAUCCGACAGCUUAACUGUCGGGCGUCUAAGAGAUACUGGUAAUCUUGGAACCGGGAGAGGUGAGGGGUACUUCGGGGGUAGGAGUGAAAUCCUGUAAUCCUCGAGGGACCACCUGUGGCGAAGGCGCCUCACCAGAACGGCUUCGACAGUGAGGGACGAAAGCUGGGGGAGCAAACCGGAUUAGAUACCCGGGUAGUCCCAGCCGUAAACGAUGUGCGUUAGGUGU
rnacentral:rRNA from 1 species